GCUUACGGCCAUUCCACCCUGAGCCACGCCCGAUCUCGUCUGAUCUUGGAAGCUAAGCAGAGUCGGGCCUGGUUAGUACUUGGAUAGGAGACCGCCUGGUAAUACCAGGUGAUCUAAGCG
ensembl:rRNA 5S_rRNA 5S ribosomal RNA